GGCGGCGUGCCUAAUACAUGCAAGUCGAGCGAAUGGAUUGAGAGCUUGCUCUCAAGAAGUUAGCGGCGGACGGGUGAGUAACACGUGGGUAACCUGCCCAUAAGACUGGGAUAACUCCGGGAAACCGGGGCUAAUACCGGAUAACAUUUUGAACUGCAUGGUUCGAAAUUGAAAGGCGGCUUCGGCUGUCACUUAUGGAUGGACCCGCGUCGCAUUAGCUAGUUGGUGAGGUAACGGCUCACCAAGGCAACGAUGCGUAGCCGACCUGAGAGGGUGAUCGGCCACACUGGGACUGAGACACGGCCCAGACUCCUACGGGAGGCAGCAGUAGGGAAUCUUCCGCAAUGGACGAAAGUCUGACGGAGCAACGCCGCGUGAGUGAUGAAGGCUUUCGGGUCGUAAAACUCUGUUGUUAGGGAAGAACAAGUGCUAUUUGAAUAAGCUGGCCCCUUGACGGUACCUAACCAAGAAGCCUCGGCUAACUACGUGCCAGCACC
rnacentral:rRNA from 1 species